ensembl:lncRNA
UCUCUACUGAAUCUUAUUUUUUUUUUUUUUUUUGAAUAGGUACAUUGAAACAAACUGAUUCACUAGAAUGAAUCUGACUUUUGAAGGCUACAAAUGCAAGAGAAUAGUUUAGGAAAGUUUGUUUGAAUAUUGAUUCUUAUAUGAUUGACUCUUACAUGAAAUACAGGUUUUGAUUCAUUUUGAUGUUAAUGGUUGGAAACAGUAGCUUGUUACUGGAAAAGCUUGUCUGUUUUGAAAGCAGCAUCAACAGUCAUGCCAAAAUAGUUAAGUUAGUAGUGUUUUUACUGUUUUGUUUUUACUUUACCUGUCAGAUAAUUUGGUUAAUGUAGGCAGUUUGAAAAGUGCAAAAUGUACCUUUAAGUGCGUCUGCAAAAGCACAAAACCACCAUUUUUUCAGUCCAGGGUUUUUUUUUUUUUUCAGUCAAAGUCCAGAAAAGUUUACACAAUGUCCUGCCUUACAAGAUGUCCAGUAUUUUUUUUUUUUUCUUGUCUUGCAUGUCAGACACUCAAAACUAUGUUUCACCUUCCCACCUUACAAACAACGCGAGCAUGUCCACCCCAUCGCCAGCUUAACCUGACACGCAUCUGUGCCGGUUUUUUCUUUUCUUUUUCCCCCGCUUGCUUUUUCUGGUUUGGUUUUGUUUUAAUCAGAUGGAGGGUCUCUACUGACGAUGUCACGUCUGGGCUCACACACGCACGCACGCUCAGAAGGACAGUGGGCUGUCCGGUGUAGCAUCAUUAGCUCAGCGGAGACGUGGCGGCCCUGACACAUGUCGAGCGGCGUGCAGCCAACCCACGGACGAGCACGAGUCGCUCCUGCAUAAUUUGAAGUCAUCCAUGGCAGUGCUUUGAGAAUCCUUCCCCGCGUUCCCCAUGACUUGAACGGAGCAUCGCUCAGCGCCGUGAUGGCUCUAUUCAUACUCAGACAGAAGCCCUGCUGGCCUGAGGGUCACAUGAGGACCUCUCCAUGACCCCUGACCACAGUUUGAACCAAGACCCUACAGUUCAUCCAUAUCUGCGGCUGUAGAGAAGGUCACUGCAGAGUUCAAAGACAUAACACGCAGAAUGAGUUGAGUUUUCUCCUGCUCUCCACAGCUGCGCGGCCGUCUACGCAGCGGGCUUCUCUCUCUCUCUCCCUCAUGUGCGCUCAAAAGGUCAAGUAACGAGGGAGAAGAAGUGAAGGAGAAGUAACACGCAACAGCUGAGUGUGUGGGGAACGGGAGAUGAGUGACAGCAUGUUUGCCACUGCAUAAUGAGUGCUGCUCUUUCUGUACUCCGCAACUGCCUCCAUGCCCCCAGGUGCGCUCGGGCCCAGUGACGCUUCACCUUAACUCCAGUCAGACAGCACAUCAGAAGUUCUUCAGUGAGGUGUGGCCGUCCAGAGAUGCCACUUAGUGUUGGCAUCCCCCUGGGGAUGCCUGGAUGUCUUUUCCAAUCAUUUGUAGUGAGUAAAUGAGACGCAGAGCUGACAAUGUGUUCACCACAUUUAUAGUGCUUUUUUUUUGGUGCCUGGCUGACAUAUAAAAUCACCAUCCACUUUCAACAGCAGCUCAGAUGUUCUGCAAAAAUUUUCCUUGUGUUCCCCAAAAGAAAAAAGGUUCACACACACACACCAGGAGGGAUCUGAAGCCCACACGACACAGACACCUCAACCGAAUGUAAAACAAACACUCUCGAUUUCACUCUUCAAAAAGACGUUCACCACCUUCAAAGCUUUACGACGAAAGCGGAGCGGAACGCUCCAAAACACAGGCAACAAACAACUCGUUUAUACAUUCUCCUAAUUCCUCUCCGACGGGCCUCGAUGUCUUUCUUCAGCAACAGACUGUUGGGGAUCACGGCUUCAACGUUGCAGUUUUAAGACUCAGCCGUCUCCCCUCCCCGCUCCUCCGUAUCUCUGUGAUAAACGCCGGAGCAAAUUCAAAGCCAAACAAACACGGAUUCAAAGAAAGAUUUUUGUGGCAACUUAAGGAAAGCGCAUGUUCGUGACAACGUGUCGCCGGGGAGUUUGUUCAGUCGGUGCUCGCUCAGAUAGACCCUGGCUGCUCAUCCUGAGCAGGGAAGUGCAUUUGCUUGAUUAUCAUUAAAAAAAGAGAGAUGAUGUCUUCAGAAGUCAGAGGGGAUAUUUAUCAGCCUCGCAGUUGGAGACGUGAUGGCGUGUCUCUUCUAAUAGAACAGCCUCAAGGCUCUGGGCCUGUGUGCGCAGGUUAUGAUCCCAUGAGAAGUGAAUAAGUAAAGCGCUGACUGAUCACAUGUAUUUACUUCAUGCUUGCCUUUUGUCCUGUAAUGAAUAUCAAUGAAUGAAAUGGCGAAUGUGGAUGGGUAACGUAUGCUAUUAGAUGGCAUACUUAUUCAAAUGAAUAUUAUUGCAACGUAAAGUGGUGCAGACUAUAUGACACAACAGAUAAGGCUUUUUAGCAUUUACAUUUACCAUUACAAACCAUAGUUCAUAACAAAAUAAAACAGUAAAUUCAUAAUAAAUUACUGAAGGAUCUCUUUCAGCAAGCUGAAAAAAGCUGCUUUGCUGGUUUGAACUGGUCUUACAGCCUGCAGUAAAACAGACCAGGCUGGUUUAAAGUUUCUUAAAGCAGGGUUUGUUGAAACCUUUUCAACAUUUGCCUGUUUGAAAUCCAUUUUACUUCAGUAACUGACAUAUUUAUGAGUAAAAAUCAUAUUCACUGAGAACAAAUUUUAUUGUGUGGGAUUUGUGACGUGAGCUAAAACAGAAAGUCAUUUAAACAAAUGACUACAUUUGGAAAAUGUUUGAAAUUUUGGAUUUAAUAUAUACUGAUGAAUCAUACACAAUGAAACCAGGAAAGUUUUAAUAAUAAAUACGGAUACCAUGGUAAUUUUUCUUUAUCAUGGUAAAGGAAUAGUUUGGGUCUAAAUUUAAGAUCACAUGUUUGUGAAUAAGAAAUGAAUUUAUAAUUAUGUAAUCAAAGUUAGGAAGAUUUACAGCGAUUCCUUUUUUAUUACUAGCUGUGUUCUCUUGCAGACUAAACUGUGAAAGCUCCGUAAAUCACUCUAUUUUUAUAGGUGCAUAUAUUUAUUUUAUUUCCACGACAUACUUUUACUACUUCUUGCUCAAACUUCAUACAAAACAAAAGGAAAAACAACAUGACCUGUUAUCAGUUUUUAUUCAAAAUCCCAUACCUGUCUGAAAGCAAAUGUUCAGACAAGAAAGAGAAGCUCACAAAGACGGAGAGGAGGGAGCGCCGCAGGAAAGUUCCACAUGCAAUCUUUUUUGUUUGUUUGCGAGUGUAAACGCAGUUGUGAUGAAAUAUUGAUGCUCCCUUCCAAACUGUCUUGUAAGUCGUCUCCGUUCUUUCAGGCUUUCCAUCUGUAGCACCUGAGGAAGAGGACGGGAACGCCGAGCUGUCAGGAGAGAUGAGCUCACGCUCUCUGCGGCAGGCUGUCAAAUGCGACACAUCCUCUUCAAGAGCAGACACAAGAGCAAACUUCCGCUAUACUCCUCGAUCUUUGUCUCUUUCUCUAUCUGUUACGUUAUCUUUCUUUCUUUAUCUGUUCUUCUCCUUUACACUUUCUAUUUGAAAUGUAGGACAGUAGCUAUGGCGGACUUGUGCAUCAUGACCUAUGGAAUCAGAGGUGUCCUUCAUUUGUAGGACAGACAUUCAGGACAGAAGAAAGAAAGAAAGACAUAUGGGUUUAGAACAAUAUAAUGGACAAAAGAAUCAAAAUGAUCCAAUUCCUUCCUAAUUCAUGGAAAUGGAAAGGGGGAGGAGGGUUCCUGUCAGGAAGGAGACAUGGAGCGCUGGCCUUCUGGACAUGUCUGUCUUCACUGAGGGACUGGCAGUAGCAUGAAAGGAGAAGCUGUCGCACAGUUCUUGAUGGCUGUACACUAAUUGCUGACCCUAACAGGUCCAAUUAGAAGUUACAUGCGCCCCGCGUGGGCCCAGGGGACUACACAUCCCAGCAUGCUGAGCACUGACACUUUCAGAGUGACAUGAACAAGACAGCAACCAGACGUGUGCUCUUUCUUCUUUUUCCCACCAUGCUUUCUCCAUCGUAAGUCACAGGCUAGUUUGUGAGGGCUGAGAGGCACAUCCAAGUGACUUUUUAUGGGCUGCAGAUGCAGCUCCAGUUAGAGUCUUUGGUACUCUACUAUAAACAGAGAUGAUGAAAUUACAGAGAAUCAAUAGAUUUCAAAAGUACAUGAACCACCAGUCAGUUUUAUAGCUGUGUCGCUUCUGAUUAUAAAAACAGAGCAGUUUAAAAGUGAAAUAGUGAUAUAGGAAUGUGAGGUAAGUUCUGGACCUAAAUAAAUAAAAAUAAUAUAAUGUUAUUAUUAAUAAUUAUUAUAUGUUAUUAU